rnacentral:SRP_RNA from 1 species
GCCUCAGCCUCCUGAAUAGCUGGGAUUAUAGGUGCCCGCCACCACGCCUGGCUAAUUUUAAGGAGUUCUGGGCUAUAGUGCACUGCACUGAUCAAGUGUCUGCACUAGGUUCAGCAUCAGUAUGGUGACCUCUUGAGAGCAGGGGACCACCAGGUUGCCUAAAGAGGGGUGAACUGGCCCAGGUCACAAAUGGAGCAGGUCAAGACUCCUGUGCUGAUAGUAGUAGUGAGAUCGUGCCAGUGAACAGCCACUGCACUCCAGCCUGGGCAACAUAGUGAGACCUGUCUCU